AUGACAUCUCUGUGGCUUUUCCUUUCCCUGUUAUCGGCCCCUACCUGUGUCCUCUCUCAGGUGCAGCUGGUCGAGUCCAGCCCGGGCGUGGUGAAGCCUGGACAGACCCUCACACUGACCUGCGCUGUCUCGGGUGUCUCCAUCACUGACAGCAGCUACGCGUGGAGCUGGGUCCGGCAGUCUCCCGGGAAAGGGCUGGAGUGGGUAGUACGUAUAUAUCCGUACAACGGGAACAAGUCGUUUGCCGCGUCGCUCCAAAGCCGGACCACCAUCUCGUCGGAUACCUCCAAGAACUAG